rnacentral:rRNA from 1 species
UACGGAGGGUGCAAGCGUUGUCCGGAUUUAUUGGGUUUAAAGGGUGCGUAGGCGGUCCUUUAAGUCAGUGCUGAAAUACUCUAGCUUAACUAGAGGGGUGGCAUUGAUACUGGGGGACUUGAAUGAAGUCGAGGUAGGCGGAAUUGACGGUGUAGCGGUGAAAUGCUUAGAUAUCGUCAAGAACACCGAUAGUGAAGACAGCUUACUAGGCUUAGAUUGACGCUGAGGCACGAAAGUGUGGGGAUCAAACAGG